rnacentral:rRNA from 1 species
AGCUUAACCUUAGGGAGGGCGCUUACCACUUUGUGAUUCAUGACUGGGGUGAAGUCGUAACAAGGUAACCGUAGGGGAACCUGCGGUUGGAUCACCUCCUUACCUUAAAGAA